rnacentral:lncRNA from 1 species
UUACAGUGAUUGAUGUAUGUAUUUUUCAAAACAAAGAGCUCUUUAAGGCGGUCUAUUCCUUGCAUUGUAUAAGUUAUUGCCCCGAUACCUUUAAAACCUAUUUAUUUAUAAUGUGAUCGAAUAAUUGAGUAUAACCUAUCCAGCCCGUCUAUGCAUAUUUUAAGACGCUUUGGAUUUUCAAACACAUUACAACAUUUGGAUUUGCAGUGACCAUUUAUUAAACGUCAGAAUGGGAAGACAAGGAUAAGAUCUCUUGCAUACGGCAAUAAAGUUGCAUUCAUAAUAGUAUAAUACAAAACACAAAAAUUAAAAAAUAAAUAAAAAAUACAUAAAAAAUAAAUAAAAAAUACAUAAAAAAUAAAUAAGAAGAUCUAAAUAAAACUCAUGCCAGUAGUAGAUCGCUGGAAAUCAUAUUUUUUCCAGAUACGGUGGUGGGUGUGGCCGCGACAGCGCUUCUUCAUGUGGUGGUUAUAGAGUUUUUUUAGGCUCAUGAGUUGUUUUAGGGUUUUGGUUAUAUUGGGUUUGUGGGCUUUGUUUGAGCUUAUGAUUAAUUGUGGUGAUGUGUGAGCUAGUAGUCUUAGUGCGGCUUUUAUUUGCGUUAGUUUUGCUUUUAGUAUGUUAGUUUGUUGUUUUUUUUGGAAUUGGUAUCUUGUUAAUGUCUUUAAUUGUACUGUUAAAAUUUAUCUAAUGAAAUUUCUAUUUGAUAAAAAUAAAAAUAAAAUAAAACUCCUGCACGUAAGUACAUUCUCUUUAAUGAAGCUGGUAAAGGGUCAGGUUGGGUUAAUAAACUCCUUGCGAGAUCUUGGGCUGCAUAUACAAUGCUGAAAAUGUUUUUUUUUGUUUUUUUGUUAUUUUGUUUUGGCUUUUAUUAUGAAAGAAGAUGUUGUUUUCAGACCGAGAAUUGUUAUUAUCACAACUCUGUUGCAUAAAAAAAAUUUAUAAAAACAAAGCGAUAGUAAUUGAAAAUGUCUCCUUCAACAAAGGAGCAGAGGUUGGAACUUGAAAGGGUUAAUUAUAUCUAUUUUAUUUUUAUUUUUAUACAGGAGAUAUUAGAGCACGGGACAUUCGAACACGGGUAAUUUACUAAGAAGGCCACACAAUACCAAAUGAGGUCUCUGGACUUACUAUGUAUUCAUCCAAAUUAGAUUCAUGAUAAAGUUAUAGAGUUCGCGUACAAAUA